AACACUUUCAAUUGGCUUUUCAUUGGAACUUCUGUUUUCGUGCUCCUUACUUCACUGGCAGGCUACUUACAAACACAGCUAUGGAAGGAUUCCUUGGCUGAAAACGACUGCACUGAUGGUGAGAUGGAACCAAACUUCCACUCAAGAAUGCAUUUUGAGCUUCUUUCCGGCGACCUGCUGUGAUGGCUACGUGUUUGCCUUAAACUGUUCAUUUUGGCGUAGCGAUGAGGGCUGUGUGUGGUGGCCAACUUACAGUGACAAAAAGAAAAAGUAAAUGGUGCCCCCCGUCGCACAAACAACAGCUUCUGUUUACUUCUUCACCACGUCUCUCCCCAUCUGUCUGCAGACUACAAGAUUAUUAAGAUUACUACAGUUUCACUCACAAAUCCCAAACCCCAAACUUCUGAACCCAAACAGUGCCCUUUUCUCACUUCAAAAUCAAAUACUAUACUCCUUAGAAGAAACCAUCUCGGACGAUGGAGUAUGAACAAAUUAGGGCUCUUCUCCGAAACCCAGAAAGCCAUUCAGAGAGGAAUCAAAUCAAAGAUCCAAACCUUCUAUCUGUCUGUCACGCGCGUGCGCACUCACACAAAACUCUCCCAUGGACAGACACUCGUACAACUCCCUAAUCAAAUUUGCAGACAAACAUCUUCUGCUAUAUCUGCCUAAUUUGCAGUGUAAACUGAGAAGAAAGCAGAAGGUUGCGUGCAGCUACAAAGAAAGGCUUCACAUUUCUGCAAUCAGGUGAAGAAGAUGAGACAUGACUGAUGAACAAAGUAAAGUCGUCACUAUAUAUAUAUAUAAUAACACAAUGGACAAGAAAGAAAGAGCCCUAAAUAAGCUCUACUAGCCAAUGUUCGUCAAAGGGUCUAGAUUAAUUUCUCUGUUUAGCCUUUUUCUUACCUAUGGGGAUAAUAUAUAUAAUAUAAAAAAUAUAGCUACAUAAACUUACCUCUGUUGUGUGAUCUAGGUCAUUUCCUUUUCCUUAGAAUCAAUUAAAAACAACAAAAAAAGGAAGUCCCUUUUACCUUUCCAGAGAGAGAGAGAGAGAGGUAGAGAUAUAAAACCCUUCUUCCUUUCCCUUUGAUAAACCAAAGUUACGAGUCACAGAGCUCUGCAAAGCUGUGUGAUGAAGCUGAAGCAAAACCCUAGGUGGAGCAAGAAGAUGAAGAAAGAAAGAGAGAGAUAGAGAAAUUUAGGGUUGCAUUGAGUGGAGGAUAGAUGGGAAAGAGUAUAUUUAGUGGAUGGGAAGAAGCAGGGAGAAGAGAAUGGAGGCAAAAGACAAGGAUAAUAAUAAAUGGUGGGUACACUAACUAAAGAAUGACUAUGACCCUGCAUCCAAUAAUAUUAUCAGAGAUGUGGGAUUGUCUCCCUUUUUUU